rnacentral:rRNA from 1 species
UACGUAGGGACCAAGCGUUGUUCGGAUUUACUGGGCGUAAAGGGCGCGUAGGCGGCGUGGUAAGUCACUUGUGAAAUCUCUGAGCUUAACUCAGAACGGCCAAGUGAUACUGCUGUGCUAGAGUGCAGAAGGGGCAAUCGGAAUUCUUGGUGUAGCGGUGAAAUGCGUAGAUAUCAAGAGGAACACCUGAGGUGAAGACGGGUUGCUGGGCUGACACUGACGCUGAGGCGCGAAAGCCAGGGGGAGCAAACGGGG